rnacentral:rRNA from 1 species
GUAGGUGGCAAGCGUUGUCCGGAAUUAUUGGGCGUAAAGCGCGCGCAGGCGGUUCUUUAAGUCUGAUGUGAAAGCCCACGGCUCAACCGUGGAGGGUCAUUGGAAACUGGAGAACUUGAGUACAGAAGAGGAAAGCGGAAUUCCACGUGUAGCGGUGAAAUGCGUAGAGAUGUGGAGGAACACCGGUGGCGAAGGCGGCUUUCUGGUCUGUAACUGACGCUGAGGCGCGAAAGCGUGGGGAGCAAACAGGGAUUAGAUACCCUGGUAGUCCACGCCGUAAACGAUGAGUGCUAAGUGUUAGGGGGGUUUCCGCCCCCUUAGUGCUGCAGCUAACGCAUUAAGCACUCCGCCUGGGGAUACGGCCGCAAGGCUG